rnacentral:lncRNA from 1 species
GAAUGGUUUUUAGGAUAAUUUUGCCUCAGUAAAUCCUCUCUACAUUCAGGCAUUUAUUAGGCCAUUACUUGUUUUGGGACUACAGAUUAUCCUGGCAGCUCAAUAACUGGAUAAACAGGACUUUAGUGAAAGAUUUUCAGAGGUUCUUUAGGGAAAAGAAUGACCAGGAGAAGGUGGGUGGAAGCCUUCAGUUCUUUGACCUCUUGCACGUAGAAUCCUAAAACUGAUCAUGAUUUUAGCUAGGACUGACCUUUCCUAGCUUGUAGGGUCACUGUGAAUUUUGUUCAUGUCUUAAAAGGUUUAAGUUAACCUAGUUCACUGUUACCUACACAAGUAACAAGACGGCCAAUAGGACCUGUCAGCAUGACUUCGACAUGCAUUCCAGGCAUCUUUCGGGGAGUUUAGAUUUACUGUGUCAUUUCAGAACCCAACAAAGGUGAUGGAAGCUCUUAGGCCAGAUUAAAUUUCAUGGAACGGAGGCUGCAGAAGUCUGUGCUGCUUAGUGUGUCAGCUGACUUUUUACUGGGACAAGUCUAUGAAAGGCCCACCUGUAACAAGGCCCCUUUUUGCCCUGUGGAUAUUUUAAAAGAGGGAAUUUGGUGUUGACAAUCUUACUUACACGACUCUUGCUAAGCUAUUUGACUAAGGGUUUCAAUCAGAUGCUUCCCACCUCACAAGCAAGGGUCAGCUCUAUUUGCAAAUAAUCCAUGAAUAUGUUUGUCUAAAACCUGCUGAAGAGGCAUGGCAGCCACUUCCAUGCUGCUUUUGGUAAUGGGUAAAGAAUAUGGCCUUUCAGAUAGAUCUGGUGGCUUUUCCCCAAUAGUCACCAUGUGGAAACUAUGCAACUAAAUUCAAUGGAAAUGAAAGAUACAAUAUAAAAUAGCGGGUCAUGGCCAUAAGCUGUGUCCUGAACUAACCAACUCCAAGCUGAAGGAGGGUGUGUACUUUCCGAAACUUCGAGGCCAUCUUAGUAAUUAUUUUAGCAAUAAUUACUAAAAUGUACAUGGGGUGGGGGAGCUCAGCUAAAAUAUCCUUACUUUGGUGCAAUAAUGAUCUAGGUUCUUUUUCCUAGGCCUAGGCCUCCACCUUGAAAGACAGGAACAGAAGUUCACUGUGAUGUGUGACCCUGGACAGAGAUCAAACAGCUCCUUUCUAGACCCAGAUGACCCAGAACGCAGAAGCCUAGUAGUUGGUAUCACCAGUGUCUCUUCAAAAGGGCCCCACAAAAGGCUGUCCAUUAAUUUGUUUCAUACAGUAAGCGAGCUUUUACUGAAUACUCCCUCUGUUAGGUAGCAUGCAGAGUGCUAGGGCUGGCACAUUCCUGCCUUCCCACCAGAACCCUCCAACCUCCUCCCCAGGCAACAGAACACAGGGUUUGGGCCUGACCAGGCAGAGCUGGUUCAAGCCAGCCUGGGGCAGAGCCAGUUUUCCAGCACACUUCUAACUUCUAGUCAGAGCCUCAGCAUUAUACACCCAGCCUACAGGUGUGUGGAUUCCUGAGACAGAUGGCAAUGGCAUCACCUGUGGUGCCAACUCAUACAUUUUAAUGAGAUUUCUCCCUGAAGGGUGAACCAGUAGACCAGACUAAACGCACACUCAUGCAAGAAUGUAAAAUUGUAUUUCACUGAGGCCCCUUUAUAAGCAGAGCCAUCUUUGCGAAUUUCUUGGGGUGUUAAUGUAAACAUAUCUUUAGAAUAUCUCAUCGGGUUUCAGUCAGAGCCAUGCUUUGGGUUUUUCCUAGCAGCAGUGAUGAUAUCAACUUACAAGGUUUGGCUUUCAGGAUUUCAGAAGCUGGCAUUCAAGACAACAGGCAGUUUGUCAGAGCUGAAUGAGAAUCAGCCUGGACAAAUCAAGUGCUUUAACAAGGGCAUCUUCCUCUGGGAAUAAUCAGUCCUUAAUACAGUUUGCACUUGACAUAAUAGUUUUGGUAAAUGUCUUUUUCUGGCUGCACCCCCUUUUAAGUAAGCCUUUAAUUUUAAAUGGUCUGGAAAGAUCUUCGAUGCUUUCUGUAAGGUUUAGUCACCAAGAAGCCAGAACUUUUGGUGAAAACAGAAUUUAUAAAAUGAAACUGAACCUUCUCCUUUCUUACAAAAUAAAGAUCCUGUCAGACUCCAGUCUCAGACCACCUUUGCCCAUUUGUAAUUCAGACUUGCAGAGUGAGGAGAGAACUGCUUCAGCCUUACUGUCUUGUAGAGAGAUUUGGUGAAAAUCAUGUUACUUUAGACCCAGUAGUUUUCAGGACCGCAACAGGAUGCGGGGCACCUGGCUUCCCGGGUAAGGUCACAUAGUCUCUUAAAAUUCUGUCACUAAUUUUUUUAAACGACUUUUUUUAAAAAGCCACCUCCUCAUGGGUGUCCACUUUUUUCUAGUUCCUCAGCUGCUUCUGGAGCAGUGUUCACAACGGGAAUGUUUUUACUGUCCUUGGUAGGCUACAGGUUCACAGCUUCAAAUCAAGGCCUCCAAGGAUUUUAUUCUCUUACAUCACAGUUUUGACAAGUAUGCUUUUAAAAAACAACAUUUGCAAAACUGGUCUUUAAGCGACGUGAGUCAGAGGUAACAAAGGCAUAUAUAUACCGAACAAAGGUGCUCCGGUGCAGUGGAGAGAACAGUAUUAGUGUCGCAAGCACAGGAGUGCAGACAGCCCCGCCUUCAUCGUGAUGCCUGCAGCACACCACGAUUAUCAUGAGAGGUCAAGAUUUUGAUUUACUAAUUUAUAAUCUUAUUUCCAAGCAAAACAAGUCAAUUUCAUGUUACAACUUUUUUCUUGUUUCUUUUUAUCUUGUUUGGCCUGAGGGUUGGGGGAUUUGGGGGAGUUGUCAGCUGCACAAUCUUUGAAGUGUAAGUUAAUUUUUAUGUGAUAUUUCAGUAUAUAUUUUAUUGAUUAAA